GACGAACCGAGCGAACUUUAUUCGGAAUCACUGGGCUUAAAGGGCGCGUAGGCGGGCCAGCCCGUCUGUGGUGAAAGCCUCCAGCUUAACUGGAGAAGUGCCGUGGAUACUGCUGGCCUCGAGGAGGAUAGGGGCAUCUGGAACGGUCGGUGGAGCGGUGAAAUGCGUUGAUAUCGACCGGAACUCCGGUGGCGAAGGCGAGGUGCUGGGUCCUUUCUGACGCUGAUGCGCGAAAGCCAGGGGAGCAAACGGG
rnacentral:rRNA from 1 species